AGAAGACUAGUUUAUAUAUAUAUAAAAUAUUAGAUUGUAAAUCUAAAGAUUUGCCUUCUAU
rnacentral:tRNA from 1 species